UACGUAGGGUCCGAGCGUUGUCCGGAAUUAUUGGGCGUAAAGGGCUCGUAGGCGGUUCGUCACGUCGGGAGUGAAAACUCGGAGCUUAACUCCGAGCCUGCUUCCGAUACGGGCAGACUAGAGGUAGGCAGGGGAGAGCGGAACUCCUGGUGUAGCGGUGGAAUGCGCAGACAUCAGGAGGAACACCGGUGGCGAAGGCGGUUCUCUGGGCCUUACCUGACGCUGAGGAGCGAAAGUGUGGGGAGCGAACAGG
rnacentral:rRNA from 1 species